UACGGGGGGAGCAAGCGUUGUUCGGAUUUACUGGGCGUAAAGGGCGCGUAGGCGGCUCAGACAAGUCAGUUGUGAAAUCUCCGAGCUUAACUCGGAAAGGUCAACUGAUACUGUGCGGCUAGAGUGCGGAAGGGGCAACUGGAAUUCUUGGUGUAGCGGUGAAAUGCGUAGAUAUCAAGAGGAACACCUGCGGCGAAGGCGGGUUGCUGGGCCGACACUACGUGAGGCGCGAAAGCUAGGGGGAGCAAACGGG
rnacentral:rRNA from 1 species